UCUUUUCUCUCUCAUCUCCAUCUCCCUACCACUGCUCUCUUAUUCCUCUCUCUUUUCCCCCACCAUCCCUCCCCCUUACUCCGAUUCUCUCCCUCUACCCCUUUGUACCUCCCUCCUACUUCGACCCUCUCCCUCUCCCCCCACAGUCUCUUUUCCUUGCUUGCAUCGACCAAAUUGCUUCUAAAUUAUUUGCUACAAAUUGUCAAUUGAAAUGCUCCCAAAAUAGUUGCUGCCCACCGUUUAUACCAGUUGCCAUUUGAUCCAAUUUCAAUCAUCAAAUAGACUAAAUAGUUUACUAAAAAGCCUUCAAUGUGCUUUAAAUAAGCUGCUUCGUUGACCUGCUUGCUUGCUCUCUAAUUCACUUUCGGUCGAACAAGUAUUUGCUACCCAUUGCACCGACCAUUGCUUCAAAAAGCCUGCUGGUUAGCCAAAUUUCUUCCACCGAUCAGCCUUGAUAGAGUGGCUACUAAUUACUGUUCCUUCUCACCGAUUGCUCCAAUUAAUUGCUUCAAAUUGAUGUCGUAAUUUCAUCCAAUUUGCUGCCCCAAAUGCUUGAACUUGUUGCUAGAUAUUUCUUUUUUCCUGUAAGAAAAAUUUAGGAGAGGGUUAGCAGAGGAAAAGGUACGGUGGGAGAGUGAAGGGGAGGGAUGGUGAGGAAGAGGGAGAGGGAUGAGAAAGCGGUGGAAGGGGGAAGGAGAC
rnacentral:lncRNA from 1 species